rnacentral:rRNA from 1 species
UUUCCGGUUGAUCCCGCCGGACCCCACUGCUAUCGGGGUGGGACUAAGACAUGCUAGUCGAGCGCCUUGGGCUAUGGCGAGGCGCGGCGUACAGCUCAGUAACACGUAGUUAACCUACUCUCGGGACGGGGACAACCCCGGGAAACUGGGGCUAAUACCCGAUGGGUGAGGGGGCCUGGAAUGGUUCUUCACCGAAAGGAUGUUGAAGCAUGCUUUCAAUCUUGCCCGAGGAUGGGACUGCGUCCGAUCAGGUUGUUGGUGAGGUAACGGCUCACCAAGCCUAUAACCGGUACGGGCCGUGAGAGCGGGAGCCCGGAGAUGGAAUCUGAGACAAAAUUCUAGGCCCUACGGGGCGCAGCAGUCGCGAAAACUCCACAAUGCACGAAAGUGUGAUGGGGCUACCCCGAGUGCCGUCCGCUGAGGAUGGCUUUUCUUCAGUGUAAUGAGCUGGGGGCAAUAAAGGGAGGGCAAGGAUGGUGUCAGCCGCCGCGGUAAAACCAACUCCCUGAGUGGUGGGGACGAUUAUUGGGCUUAAAGCGUUCGUAGCCGGCCUGGCUUAGUCCCGCGUUAAAUCCAGCGACCUAAUCGUUGGGCCGCGGGGGAUACGGUCUGGCUUGGGGGCGGGAGAGGUUAGCGGUACUCCAGGGGUAGGGGUGAAAUCCAGUAAUCCCUGGGGGACCACCAGUGGCGAAGGCUGCUAACUGGAACGCGCUCGACGGUGAGGGACGAAAGCUGGGGGAGCCAACCGGAUUAGAUACCCGGGUAGUCCCAGCUGUAAACGAUGCGGGCUAGCUGUUGGGAUGGCCACGAGCCAUCCCAGUGGCGCAGGGAAACCGUUAAGCCCGCCGCCUGGGAAGUACGAUCGCAAGAUUGAAACUUAAAGGAAUUGGCGGGGGAGCACCACAAGGGGUGAAGCUUGCGGUUCAAUUGGAGUCAACGCCGGAAA